AGCAGGAAUAUUCUGCUCGUCCACCAAUAUGCCAUUCGCGAGGCGGAACCCUUGCUAGAGGCAUAGAGUCACUCCCGCUAGGGUUCGAGGCGAGGAGACCCGGUCAACGGCAGUUGGCGAGACGUGCCUUCCUAUCCGAGAAUCAAGGCACGAGGUCCAUCUCCAUUCGCCCAUCAUGAAGAUAAUGGGACAUCCACAUCCGAGCGUGGGGAGAACAACGGGCGUAAACUGCGGAAGACCGGGACUCAGAGGAAGCCUAUAAAAAGGUAGCCAACGAAGGUAAAAGGGUUAGCAAUUUUGAUUCUAAAAGAGAGAAAACAACCUAACAGCCAUAAGAUUGGUGGCAAGCGUUCCCCAAAUCUUCAUAUCUGACUUGAGCGUCGGAGGGUUUGCGCCGGGAAAACAACCGGCGUACUCUGACCUGUCUGUGUGCGCAGGAACCUCUGGAGAAGAAGCUUUACGAGGAGAGAUCCUGGUCGUGGUGAAGUUGAUCGAGCAGAAACCCUGGUCGUAGAACGUGGAUAACCAGAAUCUCGCAUCAACAAAAAUGAACAUAUUGCAUCUGCUUGAGUCUUCACAUGCAAAGCUAGAAUAUCACAUGAGCACUUUAUUCAGUCCACUAGCAGCUUCCAAAAAGACGAGUCAACAUCUAAUUGGAGGAAGUAUUGAAGAAUUGUUUGAUAAGCUUCUUGUCCCUUCUUUCCAUUGCCA
rnacentral:lncRNA from 1 species